UAGGAUAUCAUACAAUCUAGAAUUGUGAUACCUCCAGCUUUGUUCUUUUUUCUCAAGAUUGCUUUGGUUGUUUUGUGGUUCCACACAAAUUUUAGGAUUAUUUGUUCUAGUUAUGUGAAAAAAUACUACUGGUAUUUUGAUAGGGAUUGCAAUGAACCUAUAUGUUGCUUUGGGUAGUAUGGAUAUUUGAACAUUAUUAAUUCUUCCAGUCUAUGAGCAUGGUAUACCUUUCCAUUUGUUUGCGUCAUCUUCCUCAGCAUGUGUUUUGUGGCAGUUUUUAAUUUAAUAUAUUGUGUGUGACUUUCCAUUUAAUUAAAUAUUCUACUGAGGCAUCAUUUUAAGUGGCUGCAUGGUGUUUUAACCAUAGAUGUAUUUAAUCAAAUUUUAAAUUUUUUUGAACUUUUUUUUAUUAUAAUAAGAGCUCAUGAUGAGCAUGUGUUGUUUACAAUAGCAAAUGAAACAAAACAACAACAAGCAAGAAAAUAUUUUGUAACCUCCAAGUUUAUUUCCUUAGGAUCCUUCAGAAUAUUUUUUUAAUUCUUAGGAAUAGUUCUGAAAACAAGUGCUUGAACAAUUUUAAGACUUUUAAUGGAAAUGCCGAGAGAAUAUUCUUUUUGCAUUCAGGGUCUAUAUUUCCAGAACAUAAUGGACUUAAUGAUGAUAUGAUAUUUUUCCAUUAUGUAAACAAUCCAUUAAUUUAGUACACAGAGUGAACUAUGUUACUCUUCUUGAGUUGUCCAUUAAGCAGCUGCAGCUUUGGAGUUGCCAGGAAUUCACCCAACUGGCAAAACCUUGGGACACUUUAUUGGGCUCAUGGUACCUACUUAUAGCACUGGAGGAGGUGAUGCAUGUCCUUCAGCUCAAAGAAAUGAACUCAAAUAAAUUUGUAUAAGUUUAAAUGCCAAAUGAAGGUUUUUAUAGGUUAAAACAUACCCUGCAACUUCUUUGUAGCCCACUUCUAUCUCUGUAACAUUCAGGCUCUAAGACAUAUGACUAAUUACCAAGAAAGAUUAGAAGCAGGAAUAAUUCUAGUCCAGCAAUGUGGGGAUACUUGAACUUGGAGGUCACAUCUGAAGAUCUUACACCCUUCUGGGCUUGGGCAUCUUGAGACAUACAGCAUUCACCAUCAGCCCUGGAAAAGUUUCCAGAAAGUUCUGGAUGCUCUCAAUAUUGGCACCAAGGAGAUUGCUUAAAUCUUCUAUAUGUCCUUGCAAGUGUCCUGCAACUAUUGAUAAAAUGAAUACAAAGAUCAUAUGUAAUGUGCAUGUCAAAUAGUGAGGAUAUUCAGGAGUCAACUCUUAAUAUACCACUAACACAAAAGGAGAUUCUGUUUAUUAUUUAAGACCAAUGAAAAUGCCAGUUUUGGCUAAAUAUUGGAGAACUAUAAAGAUUCCUCUAGGGGGACAAAAUAACAACAACAACAACAACAAUAGUGGUCAAGGCAAAUUUGACCUCAAACCUCUCCUUGACUCAUAAUAUUUCCUGUUCCCUCAUUGGUUUGGAUUUUAUUCUAAGACUUUCUUUCUGGAAUCAUUUGGUACUUAUAUCUGUGACUUUGUUUUUUCCCUUAGAGAAAAUGGUGUAAUGUAAUUGGAGACUUAAAAAAUAUUUUCUCACAAAAAUACUAAGUGCAUAAAUUAAAAACAAAACCCUAACUCAUUGUUUGAGUCUCCUCAACUCCAGCCAUACCUGAGUAAGACCUAUAUAUGGAUUCUACAGAAAAGGAAUUAACUGGUAAUUAACUGGUAAUAGUUCUUUCUUCUAUGCAGAAUCCAACUGUAAAAGGUAGUUAAAUAUCACCUGCACACUGGGGGCCUUAUCAGUACUUUGAAAUAUUUAAUCAUACUUCCUAUGUUAGCUUAGAAGGUGGGGAAGUAGUCACAUAUUUACCUUGGUCUGCUGUGGGCACUAGUUGUGAGUUCUAUUGUAUCCCUCAUUAUAUUACUUACAAGUCAUUUAUAAUGGGCUGAGUUCAUACUCUAGCUACAAAUUACAGAGAAGCACUUAAAGUCACUCUGGAAUAGCUUUUAAGGUAAUAGCAUUUUUUAAGGCUAAAGAAAGCUUCUUGUACCAUCCAUGGUACCUUCUAUAAAUGCCCUUUGAUAAGUUUGUGGUUUUAAAAAAUGAACUUUUUGCCUUGAGGUGGAAAUAAAAUCAUGGAUUUAGUUUAAAGUAGGACACUUUCCUGGUUUCUGUAGAUUUAGCUAGGCCCAAGGGAAUAUAAUUCCUGGAAUCAUAUUUUAAGUCUCAAUAUUAUACAUCGAAUUAUAAAUAUUGAUGUUGCUUUUUAAACAGGUUUUUCCAUCAACAGCAUGACUCUUAAAAAAGUGCCUACUCCCCCACUAUGAUUUUUAUUGCUCAAAUGUAUCACAUGUUGGAAUACACCUUUAAAUCUAUAAGGAAAGCUAAUGAUGAUAAAACAGACAUAAAUUUACUUUCACAAAAGAGCUCUAUUCCAUAAAAUGAGGUAUGACUCAGCUGCUGUGAAACCUAUCAACUUAUAAUGUAGAUUAAGUGAUUACAUUUAAUAUUUAGCAAUAUCUUUGACUGUAUUCAGUACUUUUAAAUUUAUUACUGCUGUUGUUUAUGGCAUAUAUGUGUGUGUGUGUGUGUGUGUGUGUAUGUAUAAUUCUUCUUAACAUUGGAAAUAAUACUUUUUAAAGAAAACAUGAUUCUUCUAUAUUCCACAAGAGUGUUUGUAAGUCAUGCAUCCAACACUUACUAUAUGCCAAGUCCUUACAAAGAAUUUUUGGUUAGAGAUGAUAGUAACUGUGAAAAGUCUUCUCUGUGCCCUUUUCAAGGGCAAUUAAGCAUCCAACUUUCAAAUGGCACUGAGAGCCACUUGAGUUAUUUAAGGAUGCUUCUAUUUUUAAAGUCUUUACUAACAGUCUUCCGAGAUACAUGGAAAUGCUUAAUAUAGGCUUCCCAAAUUGUUGACGACACCCUCUUAUUAGUUUGGCUGCCGGUGCAUGCACGCCUGUGUGCCCAUGCACGUGUUGUCUGUCUUCCUUCAGCGCCUUCAUUUUCCUGCAAAUUCCCACUGAGUUGCUGGACUCUGAGAAAUUCCAUGCCUUUGAUAUGCCCAGUGGUGUCAGAAACUACCUCUUUGUGACAGUUGUGCCUUAUGUAAGGAUUUUCCUUAUAGGUUCUCUCCUUAAGAGAUGCUGGUGUUUGACUCUGUCAAACUAGGACUUCCAGGAAAUGUUUGGGUAAUUGAAGGAAGAUGGAACUUAUAAUGGAGUCAGGGUAACUGGCUUCCUGGAAUACAUGUCUUGUACACACACCUCUCCCCUGAGUACCCACACGUCUUGCUUGCAGCACAUUCACAUAGAAGCUGCUUGUCUUCCCAUGCGAUACCACACAGGCAUGAGAGAUGGGUGGACAUCCCACCUACUGUUCUUCGCAAGGAAAAGGAAAAGCAGUAAACUAGAGGCAGUUUUUCCACCCUCAAGCAAAAGCUCUUUUCUCAUUUCAAAUGGAAGAAAUGCCAUCUUUGUCAUUAAUUCACAGAUCUUUAUUGAGGGAGGGUGCCAGAAUGGGGUUAGGCCUUGGGGGAAACAAAAUGGAAGAAAAACAACCUCUGACAUCACUUGAGUUUCUAGUUUAAGGAAGGAGAUACACAAUCCACAGAUAACCCUGGGGGGACACUCCCCAAAAGGGGUGAAGAGGUGGAAUUAGAGAAAAGAGAAGUGUCUGCUUGACUAGGGGUCAGAGAAUCAGGGAGUGUUUCUGGAGGGAGUCAACAACACCUGAGUCUCACCCAACGAGCUGGCCUUACAGAAAGGGAACUUGUAGACCCGGCAUGCAGCCUGGGCAAAGAACUGGACAGGAAACUGAGAGCAUGUCCACUCUCAGGGGAUGAGAGCCCUCAGGGUCUUGGAGGGUGGGAGGCUAGGAAUGGUAAGAAAUGAACGAGGCAGAGGCUAGAGAUCAGGGAUUUGGAAUUGAUCCUGGUGUAGUGGGAAGCCUUCAUCAGUUUUCACCAAGGCUGUGAUGCAAUACAGUUUGCACUGGAAUUUAAAGGAUUGCCACUGGGCAAGACUAAAUGGUGGGACAUUGGUUAGGGGAGGCAUGCGACCAGCAAUAGAAGGACACAGAGGUGGAAAGGCCAAGCUGAGGUCGUGGGCCAGAGGGAUCAAUGGAAGAGCAAGCACACUGACAGCUAGUGAGGAGGUUGGAUGAGUGAACUCAGAGCUAACUGGGCAAGACUGGUUCACUGUGUUCUCUGCUUGUGCAGAACAGUGGUCCCCUCCGACCCUCAGGGGCUCUGUUCUAAAACCCCAGCUAGUGCCCGAAACUGCAGAUAUUACCGAACCCUAUACAUACUAUGUUUUUUUUUUUUUCUUGUACAUACAUACCUAUGAUCGAGUUUAAUGUAUCAAUUAGGUAAGAGAUUAACAGUGAUAGUAAUACAAUAGAACAAUUACAACAAUAUAGUGUAAUGAACGUUAUGUGAAUGUGGUCUCUCUCUCUCCCUCAAAAUAUCUUACUGUACCAUACUCACCCUUCUUGUGAUGAUAUGAGGUGAUAAAAUACCUACAUGAGGAGGGGAAGUGAGGAAAUUAAUGUCGACUUUGUGACGUAGUGUCAGGCUACUACUGACCGCCGACAUAUUGGAAUGAUCUGAGGAUCAUCUGCUUCAGGACAGAAAAAGAAAAUAUGGAUGAAGGGGCACUGCUCUACUGGUGGCUCCCCCAAGUCAGCGAGCCCCCUCUCCCUCUCUCAGCACCAUAGGUCAGGCCUCACCACUUUCCUUCUCUCUUGUCCCUUCUUUUUCUUCUCUUUCUCAUCUCCCGGAGUACAGCCAAGUUAUUCUCUCAGAGUGGCUUCCAAUCUAGAAACUUCAGAUUCCUGCUUACCUUCUCCCCCUCGCUCAACCCCCUCCCUCCCAGUCACCAAACUGUAUUGAUGCUACUGAGAAUUUCCCAGUCUGGUUCUGUUCAAGCCACCACUGCUGCUACUGAGUCAGGCUUUUCUUUACUUCUUCAUUCCUCCUUCUUCCUGCCAUCUGCCAUUGAAAUCCUUGUCAGCACUGAUUAGCAUGAAGAACAAUUAGAGGUGUGAGAAAAUAAAACUCAUCCCACCUAGCCAAUUUUCAAUUUUGCAGACAUUUAAGCAAAGAAUUAAUGACAUUUGGGGAGGUUUUUGUUUGUUUGGUUUUGGUUUUUUUGUAACAAUUUUUUUUAAUGUUUAUAUUAGAGAGAGAGUGUGAGCAGUGGGGAGGGGUGGAAGGAAGGGGGACAGAGGAUCUGAAGUGGGCUCUGUGCUGACAGCAAAGAGACUGACUCAGGGCUCAAACUCACCAACCAUGAGAUCAUGACCUGAACCUAAGUCAGACACUCAAUCGACUGAGUGACCCAGGUGCCCCUUUUUUAAAUAACAAUUUAAUCUGCCUUUUCAGUUCUACAAAAGUUUGAUUGAAUAAAGGAAUCAGGACAAUUUUUUUCUAAAACACAAUGAAUUAUAUAAAUAGUAGGCCUUAUUCUAAAAUUACUAACGAAGAAACUACUGUCCCUUCCUGUCUCCUUUUCACCAAGAAAAGCUAACCUAUUUCAAUGAGGAACAAAACAUUUUUAAAAAUGCACCCCUCUUGUAUAGGAAAGUGAUGAAACAUUCUGGAAACAAAAAAGGGGGGGGAGUUGCAAGGGAUUACUCUUGAUUAUGGCAAAUAGCUAAUUCAAAUAUUCUACAUCAUUUUAUUUAUUCUAAAAUAUAAUGAUUAAAGUGAGAAACAAUCCCCUAAGCACAAUGUGGCUGACAGUACUCUUCCAUUGUUUUUGUGUAGAUAGGACAAGGUCCUUAGGCAUUCUUGCCAAGUAGUGUCCUGUUCAGAGCAGUCACUAAUACCAGAUCUUGUUAAUAAGCACUAAUCUCUUUUUAAUAGACUGCGUUUGAUGCCAGAUUAGUAAAAUAAACUCUCAUCUCUCAUGAUGACACUUUGUUCCUGAGAACUUUCUCUACUUACCUUGAGGACAUUAUGUUUGGAGAUUUUUAUGCUUCAGAAUACAUCUAAAAGACUUCUGCCUUGAAUGGAAAAGGCUUUCUAUAUUGCUGAGACACAUGUGUUUCUGGGAUGGGAAGGCACCAACUAAGCUAUAGAAGCCAUUCAUAAGCGAAGAAUAAGAAUGCCUAUUCCUUCUUCUUAGAGUUCAGUUUAAAGACAAACAGAAAAAAAGGAAGUCCUGACACAAAUAUGAUUAUGAAAAUGGUGAUUUUAGAAGACCAAAAUUGGUGAAUUGCCCACAUUCGUAAGAAUAUAGCAGCAAUUUAAAAAAAAAAAUGAAGGAGCUGCUAUAGGUAUAGGAUACGAUAUUAUUGAAAUCUGACAAAUUUCCAUCAGUGAAGUGCUUGAGAACUUCCAUGACUAUGUGAAGCUCCCAGGGUAACCUGGUCCAGAAUUUGGGGGAAUGGGAAUGGGGUUCUUAGCAACCUGGGAGACGGCCUACCUUGAUCCAAGGAGACCGCUCUUUUAGAUGAAAGCAUGUCUCUGCACAAUGACCCCUGGCCCUAGACAUGGUAUCAGGAAUCCACAGGAGAGUAGAAUCUGUGCUGUGAUGGCAGGAGACACAAAGCACCUGACAAGUGAGAAGUUUGGGUUCUAGCACCAUCGCUUCCACUCGUUGGCUCUCUAUCACAUACAGCAAAUAUCUGAAUGUCUUUCACUCUGACUUUUCUCAUCUCUCCACAUGGGGACAAUAAGUGUUCCUUAUGUAUCACUGAAGAUUUGACAAGGAAGGAUCAAGAGAAAAGAUUGAAAUGAGGGCACCUUGCAACAGGACUCUAUAAAGAUGAGGUCUUGUAGUAUGCUUUGGUGUGUGCCUGAGGAGCUCCCCGAAGGCCAGGGAGUCUGUGAAAGGAAAACCAGAUGGGAAGGUGAGUCACUUCCGGCUUUAGCUUUAUCUCUAUUAUUGGCAUUUUACAUAGUGAACAUGUAUUAGUAGAUUACUUGUAAAAUUUUAAAAUCUGAGAGAGUACAGAAAUAGGACUAUGGCAUUUUAUAAAAGAAAUAUAUUAUCUGCUUUAGAAAUUUAAUGUAAAAGAAGUAAUUCAUUUGUUUUUCUCUUUGAAGAUAGGUCCGUGGUCCUCCAUCAUUCUGAAAUCCCAAAACCUUUUUUUUUUUUAAUUUUUUUUAACAUUUAUUUAUUUUUGAGACAGAGAGAGACAGAGCAUGAAUGGGGGAGGGUCAGAGAGAGGGAGACACAGAAUCCGAAACAGGCUCCAGGCUCUGAGCUGUCAGCACAGAGCCCGACGCGGGGCUCGAACUCACGGACCCCGAGAUCGUGACCUGAGCCGAAGUCCGCCGCUCAACCGACUGAGCCACCCAGGCGCCCCCCAAAACCUUUAAAAACAGAGUUUUAACAGAAGUUUUCAGCAAACUUAUUAGAUGAUAAAAACAUAACCUUAACUAAGGAGUAACCAUUUGUGUUGUUGGCUUUCUUUCUGCAAGAUCUAAGAGGCCCGGUGGAAUCAAUAUUCCCAAAAUGCUUCCCAGGGUUAUGAGACCUGCUGAAAGUGUAAGCACUGGGAAAUGCUGACCCAGUCAUUCAAAAUUAUGGUGAGCAAGAGUCAAGAGUCUUCCCAACCAGAGGUGUCGCUGUUGCAAAGGGGCCCUCUCACCCAGGUUUCAGGAAUUACAGUUGUCCCUGAAAAGACAAAACACUUUGCCAGGAAGUCUUUGGCAGAGGCAGCCCUGUAAGUCAGAAGUUCCAGACUCCUCAAGCCUCAGUGACACAGAUGUAAGCGGUUACCAGUGCGGACCCGUGCUGCCUGACUGCACGUAGCGACAUGAUGCACCUAAGGGCCUGGGCUUCUUCCUGUGAUAGAAAAGGGAGGCUACCUCCACGUGUGUAGGGACUUGGCUGGAACAACAGGAGUAAGACCACUAUGUUUUGAAAAAUGCAAAGAGAUUUUUUUAAUGGAGCAGAAAAGCUAGUUACAUCACUGGGGUUUGCCCAUCAUUAAAUUCAUUUGGUUUAUUUUA